rnacentral:rRNA from 1 species
AUGACGGGUGCAACAUCUCAGGGAGAACCAAGUCGUCGUAAUGGCAUCUCUAGCCAGAACAGUUCAGUUGGUGCACGACGACGUGGUGGCUCGACAAGUGUGGGCAACAGCAGUAGGGUCCCCCUUGAAGUGGAGCAUGAUGACUACAAUUCUGGGGUUGAUGAAGAGAAGCUAUAUUCUGAUGUUAUUCGGAAUUUACGACGGGCACCUCAGGCUGAUAACCAAGAUGAGGCUCACAAUGCAGUCCGUGUGGACGAUGACGCGGUGGGUGAGGACAAAGACCUUGUAGCUGUUGAAUGGGACCCUUUGAACCCUAAUUUGGAAGAAGGUACAGUUUUUGCAUCCAUGAAUGAGUGUAGAAAUGCAAUUGUGACAUACUGCAUCAAGGUAGAACGUACUUUCAAAGUUGACAAGAGCGAUCAAGUACGUUACAGAGUGCACUGUCCGACUGAGGGUUGUCCAUGGAGGCUGCUCGCAUCUAAAAUGUUUAAUAGCACUAAUGUUCAGGUCAAAGUGAACCCUUUUAAGCACACAUGCCAGGAAUCAACCCUUAGGAAGGAUACAAUCAGUAGAGCCAAGUCAAGAUGGGUGGCAGAAGAAGUAAAGAAGUGGGUGAAAGAAAACCAGCAAGUGGGUCCAAAGGAAUUGCAGAAGAACAUCAAAUAUAAAUUCAAGAUAGAUUUACCAUACAUGAGGUUGUUCAAUGGUAAACAACAUGCUAUGGAUUCUAUUUAUGGUAACUGGCAGGAAAGUUUUCAAUUGUUGUAUUCAUUCAAAGGUGAAGUGGAGAGGACAAGCCCAGUAGUAUUGUAG